CUGAGGCGGUGCGCCGUGCGUAUGUACCCGCACCCCGGGGUGUGCAGGAGGUGUUCGUGCGGCUCGGGGUGCGCAGGGGGUUCCCCGGCUCCGCUCCUUCCCGGGGCGGUUCCAGCCUGGCGGUCGCUGUACCGCACAGUCGUGUCAGCGGUGUUCCGGCAUCUCCUGCAGGAGAGCGCUUCGCGUGCAGCUGGGGAGGAAGGACGGGGACCCGCUGUCCCAUCAGUUAUUUGCCUUUGUUUCCCGGUCUCUGCCCUGUGUCGCGGCACGGGCUUUCGCUUCCCGUAAGGAAGUGACCGGUGGAGGUGGAAAGGAAACAAGCGUUGGGGAGCGGUCAGUGCACCCAGCUCAGCGUGGCAGUGCGCGGGGCUGGACCCCAAGGCGCAGGAGAGUGGCCCUGGAGCGGCUCCAGGUGGCAGCUCUCCCCAUUUUCCCUCACCAGCCCAGAAAUAUUCCGGAUCAGGCUGUUGCUGAGAGUUUCCUUACAUCGCCUGCUUCUCCCUUUUUGUCUCUCCUCGCUGUCUUCUUGGCUAAUGCAGCAGCCUGGAGAGCAGGCCGCGGGGCUGGGGGCAGUUUGGCUCGGGCUGAGGCAUGGCCGGAGCUGAGUGCUUCAGGCCCGGCCUGCAAAGCCUGCACCCUCACCUCAGCAGCCCCCAAACUUAACUGCUGCUUCAGCAGUGAGAGAAAGAGACAUCUGUGUGAGAUAAAUUAAUGGAGGAAGAGAAGCGCUUCUGUGAGCCAGGUGCUGUGAUGGAGGGAGCGAUCCUCCUCCUCCCCCGUCCUCCCUCCCUCCUGCACUUUUUGUUUAGAGCUGCUCUCUUUUCAUCUGGGUCAGGAGGCAGGAGAUGCAGUCAGGUUAUUUUCUAUAGAAAUUGCUUUGGCCAGUAAGAGGAUGCCCUGCUUUAUAAAAGACUGGUGAGGGCACCAGCCUGCCUUCUUCACGUCCUCGCACAAAGCCUUAUCCCUUGCCCCAACCAUUUCUUUCUUUCUUUCUUUUCUGUCCCCUAUCUCUUCCCUAGUGUUUCCAGAGAAUGAAAAGAAAUGCUCCCUUUCUUCUUUGCUCUCAGUUUCUUUUAUGAGGCAGAAAAAGAUAACUGGACAAAGUUUAAAAUCUAAAAUGUAUUAACAGUUAUGCUUUCUUGCUUUUUGUCUAGUUUUCUGUUUUGGCACUAGGCUUGUUUUGGCAUUUCAUACCAGUCCCAGUUGUUCCCUCCCUGCUAGGCUUGGCUCUCAGGAGUGGAACUGUACUUCUGAGGAGGUUUAAACAAGCAACAACAAAAAAAUAGGCACUAAACAAUUAGUAGGAGUCCAGCACUAACAUACUGGCUUUGCAAGGAUCCACCAGCAUGACUCAGCAGCCUGCAAGCCUGAGCUCCAGUUGCAAGUGGUUACUACUACCUUCUCCUGUUCCACUUGUAGAAAAAAAGAAAAAGAAAAAAAGAAGAUCCCAAUAAGUUUGAGGACUAGAGGAAGAUGGGACGAUAUUGAAUUUGAAUAAUAAACCAGUAAAUAACCUAAAAAAAAAAAAAAUUUAGAAGACAAGGAACUAUCAUAAAGUAUGUCUCAGGAGUUUCUGUAAUUCCCAGAGUUUGAGCCUGCAUAAAUGUAAGUAAAAAGCUUUGUUCAGUCAGAUACAAUCCCCUCUGCAUUCGUUGGCUGAAUGCAAAGUAAGCGUGCAUGGAGAACAGACCACUCUGUAACUGUCUUUUCUGUGCUAGUAGGGCUCUGGCUUGCACAUCAGUUGGCUUCACAAGUAAUUUUAGCAGUUUAUGCAUAGAUGAAUACAUCUUUACAGAGAAAGAGAGAUUUACAAUGCAUGUCUUUUCUGCACAUGUGAACAAAUUCAGUAGCUCACUUUUGUUAAUGUGUUAUUCUUUAAGAUGGUUUAGUGUCAUUAGAUUUGCAUAUAUUUUCAUUGCACAAAAAAACAUGUAAUAUAUUUCUGUAACCUUCCAAUGUCUUCUGGUAAAUGUUAGAGGGACUGGAAGAUUUUUACGUCUUUGGAACAGGAUGAAGAAAACAGCAUGGAGCUGAUGUUCAGUUGCUUCUCUCUGUUUAUGCACCUCAGUUUUCUAUACUUAAAUGAACCAUAAUCUCUCCUGUAAGAGAGAUACACGUUGAUUAAAAAAAACAAAAAGUGGCCUUGUCAGAUGGAUUCUUCACUGUUUUGUAACUCAACUUGCACAAGCUUAUGACAGUGGAAAUAUUUUAGUAUUCUUUUUUUUUCUACUAAGUGAUCUGAGGUCACACACAGUGCAGUAGUAGUACGUAGUAGGAAGGAUGCAUAGCCCAGGAGACUCCUUCCUCAGGGAUAAUCUAGGGAUCUUGGAUCUGGUAGGUCUUGUGUUUGUAAAUAUGACUUCUCAAUGUCUACAUAUGAGAUCUACAGAGAAUAUAGUGAUUCUUCUCAGAGACAUGAACUGAGUUUUCUAAAUAAGAAAUGUGGAAAGUACUAUUGGCAUAGGCUUUUUAUUUGGAAACAGACCCUAUGAAACAGAUAAUUCUACAUUAUUCCCGCUUUGUUGUGAAUAUUGGCUAGACACCGUCUAAGAUUAUAGGAAUCACAGCCCUUGCUUAAGACUGUGCUCAGGUACGUGUACUAUGCACAGAACUUGUAGACAACAAAUGCAUACUAAGUAUGUCAGUGUUAUGCUAAGUGUCUUCUGCACUGGCAGUACGCUAGGUUCCCUUUAUGAGAACUUGGGUUGGAGUAAGCUGGAAGCUAGGUGAGUUUGACAGAAGCCAGGACAAAACCUAUAUCAUCACACCACAAAGGGGAUGUGAAAAACAUACAGCACUGCUGUUUCCUUUCCUUGCUGAACAGAGGAAAUAAAAGAUGAUGAAGUCUUAGCUGCCUGUGAAAACCCACCCUUAUAGUAGGACCAAGCAAGGUAAGAUUGCAUGUAUGGUAUUGUCAGUGUUUUUAAAGAGAGGUGUAUCUGAGUUUGUUUUGUCGAGGGGGGCGGGGGGGGACAUAUACAUGUUCUGGUAAACACUGCAGCUCUGCAAGGGUAUGUUAAGAGACAAACAAUCUUAAAAGAGAACAGAAAUCUUACUAGUAUUUUCUGUAGGUCUGCAUAUUUAAACCAUCAAUUGCUUGUAAUGCUACAGGAAUGUUUUUCUUUACUUCUGAUCAGUGGCAGAGAUUCUGCUGCCUUUGGGAUUCCUCCCUGUAUGUACUAAUGUUCCAGCUCUUCUUUAUAUGAACUCCUUCAGCUGAGCUAACAAAUGACAGCUUCAACAGAAAGGUAGAGAAGAAAGUGCCACAUCCAGCUCCUCACUUGUCCAAAGGAUGGGUAUACUUUCCUGAUAAUAAGAACUGAUAAAUCAAUUAAGUGCAUUAGCGGGGUAUAUAAAACUUUUGAAUAAUGUUAUUCAUGAGGUAACUGCCUAGCCUCUGUGUGCAGGGCAUGCUUGUGACAAGAAGGAAUGAUCAAAGACAGCUCAGGAAGAAAGAAAGUCUUAAAGCUCAUGGAGAUUACUUCAGCCACCAUGCUAGUUUCAUUGUGACAGCUGCAGCCUGUGAUAGGAGAAUUAUUCCUGGUGUUUGCAGCCUGCUGUAGGAGAGGAGAAGCAGCCAAGGAACAUCAGUAUUCAACACGUAAGGAAGUAGUGUAUUAUGAUCUGUCUGUUGGUGAAUUUCCAUCUGUCUGAUAGAGUCAUUUGGGGAGGAGAUAGCACCAUAUACAAGAGCAGAAAAAAGAUGACACCACUGUUCCACUGAACUUCAGAAAAUGAACCUUGCUAACCCUGAAUUUCUUUUUAGUUACGGAACAAAAUAAAUUAUAAUUUGCACAAGAAUUGAUACUGCUUCUAUAUUCAUUCUAGGACUGUCUCCCAUUGAUUACAGCUGCGUAAUUUUUAAGUACUGAAAGUCCAAAUCUCUGGGAUAUUGUACCUUCUUUUGAGUCACGAAUUAAAGCCCUAAAACCUCUUUUUGAUUCCUCAUACUUUUGACUGAUCAAGCAGUUCAUUUUCCCUGUCACUUCUUAUAUGCUUAUCAUGCCUAACUCUCUAACCAUAGUAUUGUAAAACUGUUUCUGCACGAACUUUAUGAAUAGGUUUCAGUUCUUCAAAAGCAAUACAUAUGCUAAAAUUUCACAGGUCUGUAGGAAAUGAGAUUUUAUACUUGCAUUUCAUUUUAAUUUGUUUCUGUGAGUCUGAGCAAUGCUAAAUUUAUCUAUCAGUUUCUAGUUAUCAGUUUUCUGUUCCUUGGAAGGCUAUAAUGCCACUGAAAUACAGUUCUUAAUGUGUUUAUGUAGAAUUGUCUUUAAAUUUAUACCGUAUAAACAGACACAACCAUUUCAGUUUAACAAUUGCUUUAAUUGGUAUUUCAGAAUGACAGCUUAGAAUUAUCCUAUUAACUUUGUUAUUGCAGCAUUUAUAGCUUUUGCAAUAGAUAGCCCUUUGGAUACUACUCCUGUGUAACUUCAUUUGAAGGAAAGAGUGAAAGGAGA